CGCGGCAUCGCUGGGUACCCGUGGCUCGUGCUCUCUGGCAGACGCAUGACUCGCUUGGCCGAUUAUUCGCGAACCCUUGAAUCGGCCGUGCCGUGAUUCCGCGACUGACGUCGCGCUUCAAGGGCGGAGGGCCGUGGACGCGCGUCGCGCCUCGCAUCGGCCGCUCUCGAACGCCCCGAUGGCACAUCAGUGGUGAAGUGCCCGAGCCAACGGCGGGAGUCAACAAACGUAGUUUUUAACCCCCUGAGCGAGAAUGCGCGGCAGGACCGAGCUCUCGUUCGUCUACGCUACCUCUGUUUGGUGAUCAUUGUGGUUUCCCUCGUGGAAGCCAGGAGUCUGGUAGUACCUAACGGAAGGUGAGGCGAUCCCGCUCAUCGCCACAGCGUCCAAGCUGGCCGCCGUGGAGGAUGUGGGUCCAAAGCGGCCCGAAGGCCCGACCACCGCCACCUCCAUAAAGGUGUCCUCCACAACGAGGG
rnacentral:misc_RNA from 1 species